rnacentral:lncRNA from 1 species
UAGUUGGAUUCGUUAACCACUGGGCCACGACGGGAACUCCUGAAUUUAUUUUAAUGAUUGGGAUACAUACACACACAAACACACACACACGUACACACAUAUAUGUAUAUAUGUUUGUGUAUAGAUAUUUUAAAUUAUUAUAUUAAGUAUUCAUCUAUAUAUUACAUAUAAAAAAUUAUUUUUCUAUCUGUAUAAGCUGUGAAGAAUGAACAUAGGGAGUUUCAAAUUAAGACGAGAAGUCCUAGAAAUUUGACAACUCUGUUGUAUGGGAAGGAAUGAUAAGUUCUUACACAGUUAACAAGUAGCAAAAUCAUACAGCCUGUCUGUGAAUAAUUAAUUAGGGAAAUUUUUCAAAAAAGACAGCUAACUACAUAGACUCAAUCUCUCACUUUCUAGGAGAUGAAACAUCUAGAUGGCCCUGCUAACUACAGUAUUAUGUUAAUAAGAGAUGCAUCAACUUUUAAAUAAUUCCAGCAAAUCAGUUAUUUUCAACCAACUGCAAACAAGAGAGAUGAGUCAUCAUCUGGAGCACAUGGAUUAUGGGAGGAUUCCAAAUACCCUUCCCCAGUGCAUAUUCAAAACAUCCCAAGUUUAAAACUGGAAAUGCUGAUUGCUUCAGAGCCACUUAAAGUCAUUCCUUAGAAACAUCAUGCUCUUGCCAUUUUGUGAAAAUAUGUCCAAGAAAUGAAAUGAGUCUGAGCAUUCCUGGAUAUACACUAUAAUUUCUACUAUUUUAAGCUAAACAACAUCAGUUCAAUAGGAUGCAGGGUAAAUGCAAACCUAAAGGAGGUAUGGUUGAGAGAAAUAAUUCUAUAUAUUAUUAGGUAAUAUCCAUAGAAUGUUUUUUUAUAAUUAAAUUCACAUGCAUAAUAUUUUUUAAUAUUUUAAUUUUUAACUAUUUUUAUUAUAUUUGAUUUACAGUGUUCUGUCAAUUUCUGCUGUAAAGCAAAGUGACCUAGUUAUACAUAGAUAUGCAUACUUUUUCUUAAAUUAUCCUCCAUCAUGUUCCAUCACAAAUGAUUGGAUAUAGUUCCCUAUGCUAUAGAGCAGGGUCUUAUUGCUUAUCCUCUUCAGUGCAAUAGUUUGUGACUACUAACCCCCAAAUCCCAGUCCAUCCCACUCCCUCCCCAUCACCCUUGGCAACCACAAGUAUGUUCUCCAUGUCUAUGAGUUUGUUUCUUUUCUGUGGAAAGGUUCAUUUGUGCCAUAUAUUAGAUUCUAGAUAUAAAUGAUAUAUGGUAUUUGUCUUUCUCUUUCUGAUUUACUUCACUUAGUAUGAGAGUCUCUAGUUGCAUCCGUGUUGCUGCAAAUGGCAUUAUUUUGUUCUUUUAUGGCUGAAUAGUAUUCCAUUGUGUAUAUAUAUAUACACCACAUCUUCUUGUCAAUGGUCAUUUGGGUUGUUUCCAUGUCUUGGCUAUUGUGAAUAGUACUGCAGUGAACAUACAGGUACAUGUCUUUUUCAAUUAAACUUUUUUCUGGAUAUAUACCCAGGAGUGGGAUUGCUGGGUUGUAUGGUAGUUCUAUAUUUAUUUCCUGAGAUACUUCCAUACAUUUUUCCAUAGAGGUUGUAGCAAUUUACAUGCCCACCAACAUUG